CUUUGCCACAUUUCUCUUUUCUGUUUGGAUAAUUGCAUUGUCAAGAAUUACUUAUCAUACGUUUAGCAUUUAAUACCUAUUUAUUAUGAGUUCAUGUAACUGCUAUUUAAAGAAUAAUCUGCGCUAACUCCUUUCCACCCUAUUUGAUGCCACUCUGAUUCUAUAAUUGCUGGUUUCUGCGAUAUUAUGCCACAAAACCUGAAAGCAUAAUUGGUUGUUUCAUUCCAGACAAUACGUUUCCAAGAUGCUGAGAGCUUAACUGGCAGGUGGAAGCUCGAGCAAAGGCGUCAGGCGCGCUCACUCGCGCAGGCCGGCCUCGCAGGGUUGAAGUGAAAAAGGAGGGAUGACGUCCACAGAGCAGCGAGCGGCCGGCAUGGCUGAGACCAUUACAAAGCCAGUGACCCUGUUCUUUGGGAUUUGUACUGUAAAGGAACCAUUUCCCGCCCAUCUCUGUUCCCCUGUCUGCAGAACCAAAGGCCGAUCUGUUUGGUGGCCAGCGGUGAUCAGCUGGCAGAUGGUGCUGACGAGGAUUCGACAUUCACCAGGGAAACGUCUCCUGAAUCCACCGGAACUGCGAGAUUUCAUCAUCGCGCAUCCUGCGUGCACCUACCCGGCACAGAGCACUGUGCCAGCCCCAGGACGUGAGGGUCUCGGCCUGGCGAGGCCGAUGGGGACAGCAGCACAGCGUUGAGCCCAGGAGAUGUAUUCUCUUAUUGCCACUUUACCACUGAGAAAACUGAGGCUCAGAGCAGGUAAGUAACUUGGGCAGAUGGCCAGCUCUCAUCCUCCAUCAAAAUAAACUUCCUUUUUAAUGGAAGACUAUUUUUUUAGUAUUACUUUUUAAUAAUGCAGUAAUGCAUGAAUACUGUUCUCCUUGUAGAACAUGAUUCCACAUUACAGACAAGGCUGCCUUCACUGGAUCACAGCCCUAAUCCCGUGC
rnacentral:lncRNA from 1 species